CUACGGCGACAAUUUCUGUCAGAUAGGUACUAUUUUAACAUUAUUCAAAAUUCUUCGCAUCCUCUUCAUAAUAAAAUAAGAUCCCUAAACUCUCUGACCAAUUUAAACUACUGGACACACAAAGACUUGCCUCUAUUAAUUAACUCAUAUAAAAAGAUUGACAUCUCCACAGUACAACAGACUCUAAAAAACCCCAUAUUCGAAUUUAAUUUUAAUAUACUCAUUUUUUGUCCCAAGGUUAUUUUAAACUUGGAAAUAAAUAAGAACUCUCCAGGAGCUAAUGCAGAGUUCAACAGAAUCUCUGAAAGGAACUGGCCAGGUUGGCUACAUCUUUAUACAGAUGCAUCUAAAAUUUCGGAUUCCGAUAAUGUAGGAGCAGCGGUCUGGAUUCCAAAGUAUAAAAUAAUCCUUAAUUAUAAAUGCCCACCUAAAUGUUCAAUAUUUACAGAUUCUCUUAGUUGCCUUCAGGACAUCAUUAAAAAACCAUUUCACUCAAAGGAUAAUUUUUACCUGACUCUCAAAAUUAAGGAAGUUUUAUUUAAAUGCCAACAAUCGGGGAUUGAAGUUAUUUUGGCAUGGAUCCCAAGCCACAGUGGCAUAACAGGAAAUGAAAUCGCUGACCAAUGCGCCAAGGAGGCUAUCCGCACAGGCAGAGAGGUGUAUAACAAAGAAUUUUCUAGAGAUAUUCGUUGUCUUGCUAAACCACAUUUACAUAAAUCAUGGACGGAAAGGUGGAACAAUUCUAGGCUCAUAAAGGGUUCAAUCUUCACCAUUGGACUAUCCACCGAUUAUUUUAACCUAACCGAUCAAAAUUAUAUUUUAAUGUUAAGUAUUUUCUCUUGAACCUUGACAUUGGCAGAAUCAUCGUUUCUGAACGAUGCAGCCACAAACAAAGAAAAUAGAAUAG